rnacentral:rRNA from 1 species
CGGGGUGAGUAAUGUCUGGGAAACUGCCUGAUGGAGGGGGGUAACUACUGGAAACGGUAGCUAAUACCGCAUAAUGUCGCAAGACCAAAGAGGGGGACCUUCGGGCCUCUUGCCAUCGGAUGUGCCCAGAUGGGAUUAGCUAGUAGGUGGGGUAACGGCUCACCUAGGCGACGAUCCCUAGCUGGUCUGAGAGGAUGACCAGCCACACUGGAACUGAGACACGGUCCAG